rnacentral:rRNA from 1 species
UACAGAGGGUGCGAGCGUUAAUCGGACUUAUUGGGCGUAAAGGGCGCGUAGGCGGUAAGAUAAGUGGGAUGUGAAAUACUUGGGCUUAACCUGGGCCUUGCAUUCCAGACUGUUUUGCUAGAAUCCAGCAGAGGGAAGUGGAAUUUCCGGUGUAGCGGUGAAAUGCGUAGAUAUCGGAAAGAACAUCAAUGGCGAAGGCAGCUUUCUGGGCUGAGAUUGACGCUGAGGCGCGAAAGCGUGGGUAGCGAACAGG